rnacentral:rRNA from 2 species
ACUCCUACGGGAGGCAGCAGUGGGGGAUAUUGCACAAUGGAGGAAACUCUGAUGCAGCAACGCCGCGUGAGGGAAGAAGGUUUUCGGAUUGUAAACCUCUGUCCUCAGGGACGAUAAUGACGGUACCUGAGGAGGAAGCUCCGGCUAACUACGUGCCAGCAGCCGCGGUAAU